rnacentral:rRNA from 1 species
GCGACCAUACCCACUGGAGAACUCGGGAUCCCGUCCGCUCUCCCAUCGAUAAACCAGUGAGGGCYGGAGUAGUAGUYGGGUCGGUGACGACCAGCGAAUGCCUGGUGUUGCAUGUU